rnacentral:lncRNA from 1 species
CUGCCUCCCGGAUGAGCUGAAAUCACACCAAGUGGGACCCCAGAAGCCUUUCCUGGAGUCUCGCAGAGUGAGACAACGCUCCUCCAUCAAUUUUCUGGGCUGCUUUCUGACAACACAGCCUGUGUGGGGAAGCCAGAGGCCAAGUAACUCAGCCAGCCCAGUCUACAGGAAGGCUGGUUUCCAUCGGAGCGGGCAGCCAGACUGUGUGACCCUUUCUUCUUCUCCAGUUCACUGAAGUGAAGCCUUCUGAGAAAGCCUAGAAGAGAGUUGCCAUUUUGACUCAGGCAAUUUUUUUUAAUGUUUUCUCAUCAUGUUUUAACUGGCACGUCACUCCUCAGGGGUCGUUAUCUUCAUCUGUAAAAGCAGAAGCGGCAAAUGCAUUCCACGGGUGUGGAGAUAUGGUGUGGGUUCACUGCAGCAUCAACAAGAAUCUCAUGAAGAAUCCAUGUAACUGGAUGGACUUUCAGUCAGUGAGAGACAGCUCUGGUUAUGACUUCAGCCUGACUGGGUGAGUAUAAAACCAAGAAUGCACAGCCAGCAAGAAGAUUGAAGGUGGUAUGAUCCAGACUCACUCAUUCCUUUGGAUGACGCAUACAUUGUUGGAAAAGGGCAGCAAUAGAGUGCAAAUCUGUCAUAUUUCUGCCUAAGGAUACUGAACAGCAAUGCAAGGCCCAAAUACCUUCACCAUGCAUUCUUGGAAAAGAGGGUAUGCAUUCUUCUACUGGGAAAUAUUAAAAUGAAAUGCUCUCCUAUUAACAGCCAUAUCAGCAAGAUAUCUUGUACCGUGAUUCAUUUUGAAAUAGAAACUCCUAUCUAGAACGGCUAUACUGAGUGGAAUAUAGAAAAACUAAUCUAGGUUUCUCUAUUGGACAG